CCUACGGGUGGCAGCAGUGAGGAAUAUUGGUCAAUGGCCGAGAGGCUGAACCAGCCAAGUCGCGUGAGGGAAGAAUGUCCUAUGGAUUGUAAACCUCUUUUGUCAGGGAGAAAAGUCACCCACGUGUGGGAGUUGGAGAGUACCUGAAGAAAAAGCAUCGGCUAACUCCGUGCCAGCAGCCGCGGUAAUACGGAGGAUGCGAGCGUUAUCCGGAGGUAGGGGGUUUAAAGGGUGCGUAGGCGGAUUAUCAAGUCAACGGUAAAAUCGAGGAGCUCACCUCCAUCCAGCCGUUGAAACUGAUGAUCUUGAGUGGGCGAGAAGUAUGCGGAAUGCGUGGUGUAGCGGUGAAAUGCAUAGAUAUCACGCAGAACUCCGAUUGCGAAGGCAGCAUACCGGCGCCCGACUGACGCUGAAGCACGAAAGCGUGGGUAUCGAACAGGAUUAGAUACCCCAGUAGUC
rnacentral:rRNA from 1 species